CAGUAGGGAGGAAGGGUAGUGUAGUUAACACCUGCAUUAUUUGACGUUACCUACAGAAGAAGCACCGGCUAACUCCGUGCCAGCAGCCGCGGUAAUACGGAGGGUGCGAGCGUUAAUCGGAAUUACUGGGCGUAAAGCGCAUGCAGGCGGCCUGUUAAGUCAGAUGUGAAAGACCCCGGGGCGUUAACCUCGGAAAUUGCAUUUGAAACUGGCAGGCUAGAGUCUUGUAGAGGGGGGUAGGAAUUUCAGGUGUAGCGGUGAAAUAGCGUAGAGAUCUGAAGGAAUACCAGUGGCGAAGGCCGGCCCCCCUCGGACAAAGACUGACGCUCAGAUGCGAAAGCGUGGGGAGCAAACAGGAUUAGAUACCCCUGGUAG
rnacentral:rRNA from 1 species